UACGGGGGGGGCAAGCGUUGUUCGGAAUUACUGGGCGUAAAGGGCUCGUAGGUGGCCAACUAAGUCAGACGUGAAAUCCCCGGGCUUAACCUGGGAACUGCAUUUGGGACUGCAAGGCUUGAGUACGGCAGAGGGGGGUAGAAUUCCUGGUGUAGCAGUGAAAUGCGUAGAUAUCAGGAGGAAUACCGAUGGCGAAGGCAGCCCCCUGGGUCGAUACUGACGCUCAUGCACGAAAGCGUGGGGAGCAAACAGG
rnacentral:rRNA from 1 species